rnacentral:rRNA from 1 species
UACUGACGCUAAAGCUCGAAGGUGCGGGUAUCGAACAGGAUUAGAUACCCUGGUAGUCCGCACGGUAAACGAUGGAUGCCCGCUGUUGGCGAUACAAUGUCAGCGGCCAAGCGAAAGCGUUAAGCAUCCCACCUGGGGAGUACGCCGGCAACGGUGAAACUCAAAGGAAUUGACGGGGGCCCGCACAAGCGGAGGAACAUGUGGUUUAAUUCGAUGAUACGCGAGGAACCUUACCCGGGCUUGAACUGCAGAGGAAAGAUCCAGAGAUGGUGAUGCCCUUCGGGGCCUCUGCGGAGGUGCUGCAUGGUUGUCGUCAGCUCGUGCCGUGAGGUGUCGGCUUAAGUGCCAUAACGAGCGCAACCCUUCUCCGAAGUUGCCAUCAGGUUAUGCUGGGGACUCUUCGGACACUGCCACCGCAAGGUGUGAGGAAGGUGGGGAUGACGUCAAAUCAGCACGGCCCUUACGUCCGGGGCUACACACGUGUUACAAUGGCGCGUACAGAGCGCAGGCAGCCGGCGACGGCUGUCCAAUCCUCAAAACGCGUCUCAGUUCGGAUUGGGGUCUGCAACCCGACCCCAUGAAGCUGGAUUCGCUAGUAAU